GCGGGAAUAGCUCAGUUGGUAGAGCACGACCUUGCCAAGGUCGUGGCCGCGAGUUCGAAUCUCGUUUCCCGCUCCA
rnacentral:tRNA from 1 species